rnacentral:rRNA from 1 species
GAAACGACUGCUAAGACUGGAUAGGAGACAAGAAGGCAUCUUCUUGUUUUUAAAAGACCUAGCAAUAGGUAUGCUUAGGGAGGAGCUUGCGUCACAUUAGUUAGUUGGUGGGGUAAAGGCCUACCAAGACUAUGAUGUGUAGCCGGGCUGAGAGGUUGAACGGCCACAUUGGGACUGAGACACGGCCCAAACUCCUACGGGAGGCAGCAGUAGGGAAUUUUCGGCAAUGGAGGAAACUCUGACCGAUCAACGCCGCGUGAACGAUGAAGUAUUUCGGUACGUGAAGUUCUUUUAUUAGGGAAGAAUAAAUGAUGGAAAAAUCAUUCUGACGUUACCUAAUGAAUAAGCCCCGGCUAAUUAUGUGCCAGUCCCCGCGGUAAUACAUAAGGGGCAAACGUUAUCCGGAAUUAUUGGGCGUAAAGGGUGCGUAGGCGGUUAAAUAAGUUUAUGGUCUAAGUGCAAUGCUCAACAUUGUGAUGCUAUAAAAACUGUUUAGCUAGAGUAAGAUAGAGGCAAGUGGAAUUCCAUGUGUAGUGGUAAAAUGCGUAAAUAUAUGGAGGAACACCAGUAGCGAAGGCGGCUUGCUGGGUCUUUACUGACGCUGAGGCACGAAAGCGUGGGGAGCAAACAGGAUUAGAUACCCUGGUAGUCCACGCCGUAAACGAUGAGUACUAAACGUUGGGUAAAACCAGUGUUGAAGUUAACACAUUAAGUACUCCGCCUGAGUAGUACGUACGCAAGUAUGAAACUUAAAGGAAUUGACGGGACUCCGCACAAGCGGUGGAUCAUGUUGUUUAAUUCGAAGGUACCCGAAAAACCUCACCAGGUCUUGACAUGCUUCUGCAAAGCUGUAGAAACACAGUGGAGGUUAUCAGUUGCACAGGUGGUGCAUGGUUGUCGUCAGCUCGUGUCGUGAGAUGUUGGGUUAAGUCCCGCAACGAGCGCAACCCUUAUUGUUAGUUACCAGCACGUAAUGGUGGGGACUUUAGCAAGACUGCCAGUGAUAAAUUGGAGGAAGGUGGGGAUGACGUCAAAUCAUCAUGCCCCUUAUGACCUGGGCUACAAACGUGAUACAAUGGCUGUUACAAAGGGUAGCUGAAGCGCAAGUUUUUGGCGAAUCUCAAAAAAACAGUCUCAGUUCGGAUUGAAGUCUGCAACUCGACUUCAUGAAGUUGGAAUCGCUAGUAAUCGCGAAUCAGCAUGUCGCGGUGAAUACGUUCUCGGGGUUUGUACACACCGCCCGUCA